GUGGUCGCUCAUCAAAUUUUGGAAGAUUUUGAGCUGUCAAAUAUUGUCCUGAUUUAAAGGCGGGUCGUGAUGUUCCAGAUGAUUAUUCUCCAGGGAUGGAGUUCUGUAUUACAGAGGUAUAUGAAAGACUUUUCACCAUGUGAAGUGAACUACAAAUUAUAUUGGAAAGGGAUGUGGAAUCAGAUUCAGAUUUUUGUUAAUGAAUGCGCCAUUUGCCAUCACGCCAAGUAUCUCUCCCUUGCUUCGGCGGGUUUAUUAUGACCUCUUCCAAUAUCAGGAUCGUAUUUGGGAGGACUAUCUCCAUGGAUUUCGUUGACUUGAGGGGUUGCCCAAAUCUUUGGGGUUUGAUUCUGUUCUUAUUGUGGUGGAUUGGCUGUCUAAAUAUGCGUACUCUAUUCUACUGAAACAUCCCUUUACAGCAGGGUCAGCAGCCAAUCCUUUGUCAGCCCAUGGUAAGACUCCAUGGAAUUCCACGAAGUAUUGUCUCUGAUAGAGACAAAAUUUUUACAAGUAUUUUCUGGGAGGAACUCUUUCACUGCAAAGGGACAAUCCUUUGUCAGAGUACUGCCUACCAUCCGCAAAUGGACGGCCAAACCCAGGUAAUUAACCAAAGCCAUGAGGCAUAUCUUUGCUGUUUUGCUAUGGAUACCUUGAAAAAGUGGUUUAAAUGGUUGGCAUGGGCUGAAUUUUGUUACAACACGUCCUUUCAUUUGGGGACGAAGAUGAUCUCAUUUGAAGUUGUUUAUGGGCGUCCUUCACUGACUAUCUUGACUUAUGCUGCGAAUUAUUCCCCUCUUUCCUCCGUUGACCAGCAGGUUAAGGAUUGGGAUGCAAUGCUUGCAACGAAAGCCCAUUUACACGCUGCCAAACAGCGUAUGAAAGCUCACUCCCCAAUUGUUUGGGCCUUUUUGUGUCCUUGCAAAGGUUGGGCAGUGGCGUACAAAUUAGCACUUCUGCAUUCCACCUCCAUUCACCCGGAAUUUCACAUCUCUUAGUUACCUAAAGUAGGCAGCCACACCCUCCCUAUUUUUCGAUUACCGGCUUUCUAAUGAUGGGGCCUUCACUGCACAACUAGUUGAAAUUCUGGGAGUUCAGACAGUUGACGAGACAGAAACAGGCACGGAAGUGCUGAUCCUUUGGGAAGGCGCUACAAAGGAGGAGGCAAUGUGGAAACCUACUGAGUUUAUUGCCACACAAUUUUCAGAUUUUCACAAUGAGGACAAGGUGUAU